rnacentral:rRNA from 1 species
AACGUAGGAGACGAGCGUUAUCCGGAGUUACUGGGCGUAAAGGGCGUGCAGGCGGUUGGUUAAGUCAGAUGUGAAAGCUCCCGGCUAAACCGGGAGAGGUCGUCUGAUACUGGCUGACUCGAGGACGGUAGAGGCGUGUGGAAUUCCGGGUGUAGUGGUGAAAUGCGUAGAGAUCCGGAGGAACACCAGAGGCGAAGGCGACACGCUAGGCCGUACCUGACGCUAAGACGCGACAGCAUGGGGGAGCAAACGGGGAUUAGAAACCCCGGGUAGUCCAUGCCGUAAACGAUGCCUACUAGAUGUCCAAACGGGGGAACUCGUUGGGGUGUCGCAGCAAACGCGAUAAGUAGGCCGCCUGGGGAGUACGGUCGCAAGGCUAAA